rnacentral:lncRNA from 1 species
GAAGUAGAGCUGUUGGAAGUAUAGCUGUCUGAAGUAGAGCUGUUAUAAAAAGCUGUUUGCUAUUUGGUAACUACAUUCGUAAAGUGCUGUGGUACUUUGUUUUGUGUUUGGUAAACAAACUGAGAAAGUACUUUUGUAUGACAAAAUUACCAUAAAGGAUAUUGCAUAGUAUUAUACAACAGAACAUAAUAAAACAUAACAUAAAUUAAUACAUAAAUAUACGAUAUAGUAUAAUAUUAUUGUAAUAUAAAAUAAUAUUAUGUUAAUAUAG